UGGUUCAUCUAGUCCUGAGUAGAUUGUCAAGUCAAUUCCACCUAAGUGUCACAUACUUAGACUAUCCCAAUAUUCUGCACUUUAUAAAAACUUAAAUCAUAUUCACUCAUUUUAAAUAAAAGAGAGAAAGCACUUACAGUCUGUGAUCAUCCUGCUGUUGGCUAAGAGUUCUGGUGGUGAUUGGGUAAAGCUCAGCGUGUAGUUUUAUUUAUGCCAGCACUUAGAAAGUGAUUUAACCAGUGAUGUGGGAGGUAGGCAAGGGGGUGGCAUUACAUUUCAACAAACACUUAGAAAUCUCUGGAGCUGGAGGCUGGACAAAUAGAAUUUACCAAAAAUGGAAUAGUUGUGUGCGUUUUUGAUGGAGAGUCCAGCAAUGAUACAUUAUAUUCUUCUGCAUUUUUGUUUAUUUAGCUUGACAGAGGAUAUGAAAAAGGUGCUUUUGAUUAAGCACCUUAAUAUCACACAUUUAUAUAGUGCCUUUCACCCUGGAGGAAUGAUGAAUUCUGUUUACAUAGCUUCAUAAACUUUCCACAGAAUUGGCCUUCGCUUCAUCAGGAAUGGUCAAAAGCCAUCUAUGGCUGACACAUUCACCACCCUGAAGGAGAGAGGGACUCAGGCUAUGCUUAAACAAGGGAAACUGGGAGAGAAAUGGCUUCAAUAUUUUAUCACAUGUAUUAAUUUCAUAUUCCAUCUGACUGGCAAUAUCAUUAUGCCCCAGGCUUUUACAUGUCAGAAUAAGGCUGGCACCCAGAGUGCGGCCUCUCAGGAUGACUGGAACCACCAGGGAAAGGAAGGGACAUUUGGAGUCCUGCAGAGAUUUCUACCUUCAGCCUGGAGAGAGAAAGCACUUUGAAUGGCCCUGUUGUCAUCUUUCAAGAUAACAAUAACUGAGUAAAUUGCAAUUCCAAAGCAAAUUUUGAGUUAAAAGCAGGACAAAAUGAACAUGAAAUCUAGAGAAAGGAGCUCCCUUGGGAAGUCAGAACCCCAGGAUCAGUCUGUCUAGGGUACUCACUGUCUGCAUGCAUUCAGGCCAGCCAAAUCUUCAAUUAUACCACUAAAGCUGCAAAAGGCUGAGGAUCCAAAACAUGUCAGGAAACACCCUUCUUCUUACCCCCCAGCACUCAGCUCCUAAUAAGCAGUGAGUGAGAAUAUGAACUCUGGGGAAGCUGGAAGCUGGUUUGCUUGAUGUGGCUUGACAAAGUGAAGAUUCAAUGCCAAAUGAAAAGUCUCACAGCCUAGCCAGGAACAGAUGUUGACAAACAUCAUUGACUGAGUAGACCAUUCCUUGAGCAUAAAAUAAAAUCUAAGUUAUGAGGAUUA
rnacentral:lncRNA from 1 species